CUUUUAGGAAGAGGGGCUCCCUACCUAACGGGUUAGGAGGACUUGUUUUGCAACCCUCAUUAGUUUUAUUGGCUGUAACAGGUAGUAAUGUCUUAAGAUUAUUCUGGAAAAUAGUUAGCCCCGCCCACUCCCAAGGACUUGGUUGAGACUGUCUGUCGCACAGGAGAAAGUGCACAGCAAGAGGGGAGAAGGGGAGAGAGAAAAAGACGAUCAGAAGUAGAAAAUCAUAAUCAUUAAUUUAAGCAGUAAACUUAAAGAGCAGCUCCUUAAAUGACCCAGGGACCAAAUAUUUUCCAGAUCGCACACUUCAAUUUCUUUCCUUGGGAUCUUGGCUGGGUUUUUUGGAUACCCUAGAAGAAACCUGUGAACCUAGGAUUCUCUCCCUGACGAGGGAGAUGGCGAGCUGACCAACUUGGUUCAUCUUCAUCCACUUGAGGAAGGACCCCCUGAUACCCCUUGUUUCUCCCAGCCCCACUCUGGUGUGGUAGGAUUGUGAUUGAGAAAUUACAUAAUUUUAUUUGAUACUUUAUUUUUUUCAAAAAGGGUGCACCCAACCAACAAAACUGACUUGAAACUAAGUUGAACUAAACCAGACUGAACAGAAGACAUUCAGAACUUAAUAGACAGUGAAUACAGUUACAACACUCAGGACAUUGAUAUGAAGACAAAUUAAUGUGGUUGAAUGUGAUAAGUAAAUGCUGGCUUUACAUGUUGUCAUCACACUUUCUUUAAUACAGUUUUAACCAUUUUGCACUUAC